AUUGAACGCUGGCGGCAUGCCUUACACAUGCAAGUCGAACGGCAGCACGGGGCAACCUGGUGGCGAGUGGCGAACGGGUGAGUAAUGCAUCGGAACGUACCUUUCAGUGGGGGAUAACGUAGCGAAAGUUACGCUAAUACCGCAUAUUCUGUGAGCAGGAAAGCAGGGGAUCGCAAGACCUUGCGCUGAUUGAGCGGCCGAUGUCAGAUUAGCUAGUUGGUGAGGUAAAGGCUCACCAAGGCGACGAUCUGUAGCGGGUCUGAGAGGAUGAUCCGCCACACGGGAACGGAGACACGGUCCAGACUCCUACGGGAGGCAGCAGUGGGGAAUUUUAGACAAUGGGGGCAACCCUGAUCCAGCCAGGCCGCGUGAGUGAAGAAGGCCUUCGGGUUGUAAAGCUCUUUCGGCCGAGAAGAAAUCGCACGGGCUAAUACCCUGUGUGGAUGACGGUACCGGAAUAAGAAGCACCGGCUUACUACGUGCCAGCAGCCGCCGUAACAC
rnacentral:rRNA from 1 species